CUGGAAACUGGAAGCAUAUUGCUAUAGAGUUGUACCAAGACUUCUAUAUCACAUGAUAAUUUGUUGUUUGGGGCUGCAAGAGAAGAAGUACGAGCUCAAUGGGAGCUUAAUUUGCUGAAAAAGAAUACUUUGGAUAAUUUGCUCAAUAACCUUGGUGCAAACUCCUAGCUUGAGAAGUGUAAGUUUGCAACAUAUCAUUAGUUGUAUCCCAUUCUUCCUCCGCCAGUACCCUCAUCUAAUCACAUGCUCUUCUCUUUCUUAUUUCAGUAUUUCCCACCUCUAUAAUGUAAACUAAGUUUAUCAUUUAUCUUCAUGCCCUCAUUUUAUGGUGUUUAUCCAUUCUAUUUUUCAUACAUGUAUGUAUCUAUGUACUUGUUAGAUUUAGUUUAUCAGUGAACUCGUAAACUAAUCGUUAUAGAGUUGUUUAAGUAUGAUUAUAGAAUUAUUGAAUCGGAGUUGUAAGUAUAUAUAUGUCACUGUAUUAAAUAUUUAAAAAGAGAAUUUCAUAGGAUUAAGACUGAUAAUAGAACAACAAUAUAUAAAUAUCCUAAUAAUGUAAAUAACAGAGCAGCAAUUUUAUAGAUGAUUAAUGACGUGCUGGAAUGUUAAGAUUGGGUAUUACUGAAGAAGAUCUUUUAGUUGUUCUAUAAGCAUUGCGACAUCCCUAGUCCCUUUUAAUUCAUUUUAUUUAUUGCUAAAAUAAAAGAGCAGCAUAUAUCAGUUAAGUUUAUAUCAUAAUCAAUUGAGUAUAAGUAGGUUUAGAGUGAAAAACAAUGAAACUCUUUUGUACUGUUAAUUUGAUCGGAGAAGAGCAAAAGUUGAAAUCAGAGAAAUGAAUGAGUUUGAGAUGGUUUUCAUUUUGUAAUUCUCAUCUGCACAUGGACAUUUUUCAUAGAAUUGGACUAUUUGACGCAGGAUUUUGUAUACUUCGAUUAGAUCCUUACAAUAUUUAACAGGAUCUGAAUUUCUCAACGUAUUUAUGCUAUAAGUUAAUGGGAAUCAUCAGAUAAAUGGUCAAUGUUUCAGACUCAGGAGGCAUCAAAUGGAUUUUUCUCAUAACAAUGACAGCAAAUUUGGUUUAUGCAUCCACCAAUGAGGUAUUAAUAUAUUUAAAUAUUUAUUGAUGUUUUUUAUUUUAUAAUUGUAAACAUACAAAUUCAUUAACUUAAACUUAUUUAUUUCAGACAUCACAUUAUGGAAGUGGUGCUCCAUCACCUAAUCAAGUAAUGGGAUCAAGUGUUGGAAGCAAAAUUGAUUAGGGAUGUGUGUUUUAAUUUUAAACUUGAUUAGGGAUGUAUGAACUUUUGAACAAUUAUGUGUUGUAACUUUAAAUUUGAUUACGAAUGUAUGAACUUUUUAUGCGUUUUAAUUUUCAAUUACAUAUAAACUUUUGAACAU
rnacentral:lncRNA from 1 species